UUAUUUUUUGGAGCAUUUUCUCUUUAUUGUAACGUCUGCACCAUCUUGCCUUGUUAGAGACCUGUGCCGACACCAACUAUACGUACGGCGCGUGUCACGUGGUACCUUUAGAAGCGAAGGCAGGAGAAGGUAGCAGAAGGGGAAUUUUUACAUCACCGCGUUUUACGUAAUUUCUUUUUUUUUUUUUUUACGUGAUCGCCGCAUGCGGUGACGAUGGAGAUUUUCUGUUGGGCAUCAGACGAAAAAGAAAAAGAUUACAGAGGACGUUGUACGCGGUACGGUUUGUUUGUUUCUCUGUCCGCAGACUGGAGUCUUCUGUGAGCGCCCGAAGGACCCACGUCACGAGCUGCUGGCACAUGUGUGCCCUGGACUGUGGUCGCUGAUGUCGUGACUAUCAAAGCCGUGUUGGGACCUAAGGACAUCACAUCGUCAAGUUCCGUCAUGGGAAGCCAUGUUGGUGUUCUUCGUUGCUGCGAGGACAUGUCUGACGUCAUAUUGGCCACCUGAAGCUGUCGGUUGUACAGAGCAUCUUGUAGAUGGACACUGGCGUCAAUACGCUGAGCAGCUCUCACCACGUGGAUGGCGACAACUAAACAGACAAAGCUAUUGUCACGAAGAAAAACUCAUGGAACUGCUUAUUAACAAGUGAUGACAAUUCUAGGAACUGUGGUACAUCGACUUCAACACUGGAGUUUCUCACUGUGACAGCAAGCGCCAGCAUCAGCAGACGUCCAGGCCUGUUGUAAGAGUGCAUUUAUAUUGUUCAGUGUCCAUGGUAACCAGCG